AACGCGAAGAACCUUACCCAGACUUGACAUGCAAAAGACGACAUCAGAAAUGCUGUUUUCCUUCGGGACUUUUGCACAGGUGCUGCAUGGCUGUCGUCAGCUCGUGCCGUGAGGUGUUGGGUUAAGUCCCGCAACGAGCGCAACCCUUAUCGUUAGUUGCCAACAUUUUAGGUGGGAACUCUAACGAGACUGCCUGGGUUAACCAGGAGGAAGGUGAGGAUGACGUCAAGUCCGCAUGGCCCUUAUGUCUGGGGCUACACACGUGCUACAAUGGCCGGUACAGAAGGCAGCAAAACCGCGAGGUGGAGCAAAUCCAGAAAGCCGGUCCCAGUUCGGAUUGUAGUCUGCAACUCGACUACAUGAAGUUGGAAUUGCUAGUAAUGGCGUGUCAGCAAUAACGCCGUGAAUACGUUCCCGGGCCUUGUACACACCGGCUAC
rnacentral:rRNA from 1 species